ensembl:lncRNA novel transcript
ACAUCAGAUGACACAUGGCAGCAGCUAAAACGGGAAAAGCGCUCCCUGAGUCAUCCCUGGAGCCGGGCGGCAAAGGCUCCUCCUGGGACCAUGUGUGGACCCUCCAAUGAGGGGGGCCUGGGUCACCUUCACUGAGUGGACAGGACACUCAGUGAAGUUCCAAAGGACACUCAGUGAAGUUCCAAAGGACACUCCGCGUCUUUUUCCUCCAGCUCCUGAAGGAAGCACAGUGAAGACUCCAGCAUGGAAAAGCGUGUCCCACACGGCCUCGGCGCCUCCAUGGAUGAUAGGCAUGGGGCACCCCCUUUCCUCUGGAAGGUUCUGGUGGGGGGCAGCACACCGUCCACGGGAGCAACGGCCUCUGCAUCUGCCCACUGCAGAUUCACUUCGUAUUUUUAGUUCCCAAACCUUGACAUCCAAGCUCCCGCUCUGUGGCUUCCGCGGCAGCCUGGCAAGCUUCCUGUGAAGUCGCCCGCUGCUGAGCUUCCGCACCCUUCCUCCCGCAGAGCCAGCCAGUCAUGGAAGAGCGGGAUCAUCCCGGAAGGGAGCCUGCAGCGAUGAUCCAGCUCCUUCAAAGGGUCUGUGGAUUAUCUCAGCUUCCCUGCACGUAGGUCACGGCAGUGGCCGAGGAUCACGUAAUCCCGGUCUUGAUGGGGUGGCAUCACCAUCUGCAGUGUAUGAGGAUGACAGUGAUCGCCACGCAGCAUUGAUGGAAGCUAAAAUCAGCACCUAAGAACCAAAACGGCAGAGAGAAAGAGCCCGUUCCGAAACCGUUACGCAGAACUGGCGAGGGGAAUGUCCAACUUACCAGACCGUGGUCCAAAUGCUCACUUCCUCAACAGGGAGCUUUCUUCCAUGGCCGAACCAGCACCCCCGCCCGUCUACUCCUUCACAUGGGCACGAUGGACCCAAGAGAAGGGCAAUUUUCUGUUGCUAUUAUUUCAAUUAAAUAGCUGCUUUGAGCCUUUAUUUCUUAUAUUAAUAUCUCUUAAGCAAAAGUAAAUGUGUCUUUUCUGGUUCUAUGAGAAAAAAUAGUUACAAAGUCUGUAUAAUAUUAAAUGAGAAGAAGUUUUCACUCUCCUUUCAUGAUGUAAUAUUCAUUUAUAUCAAUCUCCACCUCUCAAUAAAAUUUUCCACACUCAUCAUCAAUGUGAACCAAGAAUUAGAAAGAUAUAAAUGUCAGAAUCUUUUAAAGGCACUGUAUUAUACAACAUUCAUU